rnacentral:lncRNA from 1 species
GUUGGUUUUAUUUAUGAAGUGAACUUUCCACAAUAGUUUUAAAUGUUAUUAUUAUUAUUUAUUUAUUACUAUUAUUCUUCUAUUUGCUCAAUUUACAAUUGGACAUUUAUUUAAAAAUUAUGAAAUUUAUGGUACAAUAAUUAUAUACGCCUAAAGGUUUCAACAAAAUGUUGUAAUUCAAAAUGAAUUAUGAUUAUGCAGAAUAAACUUUUAACAGAAUUUGAUUAAGCAUCUUUUUAGUCUCUAAGUUACUGUUAAUCGUAUGCAUGGCGUUCCUACCUGCGAGGUAACCCAUUUUAUUUGUGGCGCUCCUUCUUUCAGGUAGCCCAUUUUUAUGCUUAUAUAUAUGUGGCGCUCCUACUUUGAGGUAGCCCAAUCUCAAUAUUAAGUUAAUAUCUACACUAUUUUUAUGACUAUAUUGUACGAUUUUCUUUACAGCAAAUGGCAACAGGACUUCCUACCAUGUUCCAUGUAGAUUAAUUUUACAAGGGGAUUCACUUUAUGUGUCCUUUAAAUAAAAUUCAAUCUAAUCUUAGUAAAAAACUAUAUGCAAAUAAUAUUCUGAAAAGUUAUUCAAUGAAAUGAAAAUUUAAAUGAAUACAUAAUUUACAACAUUUUAUCGAGC